AAGCUGGUUCUCUUCGCUAUUUUGCCAUAUCCUUAAUCAUAGCUAGUGAAAAAGACUGUGGAUAUUUUGCAGUAUGGUUAUUAGCUGUUAUGGCUGCAUCUGUUUUACUGAAUUAUUCCCAUAUUCAGAUGCAUUCAACCCAACUGGAAGGAAUUACCGAAUGAAUACAGCGCCGGAGCGCUGUCUAAAUACAGGUUUUAUUUCUUUCCAUUGAAACCGUGUUUUACCUUUAUACAAUUUUGAGACAUUUGUGGAUUUUAAGAAGCGAUCGACACAAUUUUUGGAAAAACACGACAGCCAUUCCAAAGUCUAAAAGGGGCGAACAAUGUCCAGUGUGCUUGGCAGACAUCUGGACAGGAAGGGUGACGUCAUGUGGUCACGUGUUCCACUCUGGAUGUCUCGCUCGUUGCCUUAACCAGUCGUCUGUCUGCCCUAUGUGCAGAAGUAACAUUGGUGCCAUCACGAAAAGUCGCUAAAAUUAGCCUCGAAUUAUCUGUAUGUGCCAUGUUAGUUUGACACUGUAAUAUAUAUUUGUAUUAAAAUUGUUAUAAGUUGAU
rnacentral:misc_RNA from 1 species